AUUGAACGCUGGCGGCAGGCCUAACACAUGCAAGUCGAGCGGAUGAAGGGGGCUUGCUCCUGGAUUCAGCGGCGGACGGGUGAGUAAUGCCUAGGAAUCUGCCUGGCAGUGGGGGAUAACGUCAGGACACGGGCGCUAAUACCGCAUACGUCCUGAGGGAGAAAGUGGGGGAUCUUCGGACCUCACGCUAUCAGAUGAGCCUAGGUCGGAUUAGCUAGUUGGUGGGGUAAAGGCCUACCAAGGCGACGAUCCGUAACUGGUCUGAGAGGAUGAUCAGUCACACUGGAACUGAGACACGGUCCAGACUCCUACGGGAGGCAGCAGUGGGGAAUAUUGGACAAUGGGCGAAAGCCUGAUCCAGCCAUGCCGCGUGUGUGAAGAAGGUCUUCGGAUUGUAAAGCACUUUAAGUUGGGAGGAAGGGCAGUAAGUUAAUACCUUGCUGUUUUGACGUUACCAACAGAAUAAGCACCGGCUAACUUCGUG
rnacentral:rRNA from 1 species